rnacentral:rRNA from 1 species
UUUAUCGGAGAGUUUGAUCCUGGCUCAGGACGAACGCUGGCGGCGUGCCUAAUACAUGCAAGUGAAC